rnacentral:rRNA from 1 species
GAUGAACGCUGGCGGCGUGCCUAAUACAUGCAAGUCGAGCGAACAGACGAGGAGCUUGCUUCUCUGACGUUAGCGGCGGACGGGUGAGUAACACGUGGAUAACCUACCUAUAAGACUGGGAUAACUUCGGGAAACCGGAGCUAAUACCGGAUAAUAUAUUUAACCGCAUGGUUCAAUAGUGAAAGACGGUUUUGCUGUCACUUAUAGAUGGAUCCGCGCCGCAUUAGCUAGUUGGUAAGGUAACGGCUUACCAAGGCAACGAUGCGUAGCCGACCUGGGAGGGUGAUCGGCCACACUGGAACUGAGACACGGUCCAGACUCCUACGGGAGGCAGCAGUAGGGAAUCUUCCGCAAUGGGCGAAAGCCUGACGGAGCAACGCCGCGUGAGUGAUGAAGGUCUUCGGAUCGUAAAACUCUGUUAUUAGGGAAGAACAAAUGUGUAAGUAACUAUGCACGUCUUGACGGUACCUAAUCAGAAAGCCACGGCUAACUACGUG